AGUGAACGCUGGCGGUAGGCCUAACACAUGCAAGUCGAACGGCAGCACAGUAGAGCUUGCUCUUACGGGUGGCGAGUGGCGGACGGGUGAGGAAUACAUCGGAAUCUACUUUUUCGUGGGGGAUAACGUAGGGAAACUUACGCUAAUACCGCAUACGACCUACGGGUGAAAGCAGGGGAUCUUCGGACCUUGCGCGAUUGAAUGAGCCGAUGUCGGAUUAGCUAGUUGGCGGGGUAAAGGCCCACCAAGGCGACGAUCCGUAGCUGGUCUGAGAGGAUGAUCCGCCACACUGGAACUGAGACACGGUCCAGACUCCUACGGGAGGCAGCAGUGGGGAAUAUUGGACAAUGGGCGCAAGCCUGAUCCAGCCAUACCGCGUGGGCGAAGAAGGCCUUCGGGUUGUAAAGCCCUUUUGUUGGGAAAGAAAAGCAGCAGGUUAAUACCCCGCUGUUCUGACGGUACCCAAAGAAUAAGCACCGGCUAACUUCGUG
rnacentral:rRNA from 1 species